AUACGGAGGGUGCAUGCGUUAUCCGGAUUUAUUAGGUUUAAAGGGUGUGUAGGCGGGAGCCUAAGUCAGUGGUGAAAUCUCACAGCUUAACUGUGAAACUGCCAUUGAAACUGGGUUUCUUGAGUAUAGUUGAGGUAGGCGGAAUGUGUAAUGUAGCGGUGAAAUGCAUAGAUAUUUCACAGAACACCGAUUGCGAAGGCAGCUGACUAAGCUAUUACCGACGCUGAUGCACGAAAGCGUGGGUAGCGAACAGGAUUAGAAACCCCAGUAGUCC
rnacentral:rRNA from 1 species